GGCCGAUUGGAGUAGUUGGUUAUCUCGUAUCGUUUACAUUUCCCGAUAAGGUCGUCGGAUCGAGCCCGGCAUCGGUCA